GGUACAGCUCGUGGGCUCCAACAAUCAUCUGCCAGAGAUUUACACCUACACUAAGUCCCUGCUGUCCUGCUGAGAGAAUGAAGUUUUCUACCACCCUUUAAGAUCUGAAGACUUAACAGAGAAUAGUUCUUUCGGAAGCUGGCACUGCCUUUCUUGGGAUGGUGGCUGACUAGGCUUUGCUGAGGGAGAGAGAAAAAUGUGUGAAUACCAGAGAACUACUAGAAUGAGAUCCCCAUCGACUGCAUCUUCUAACUAUUCCUACCCUGAGAGAUAGCUGUGCAAGUUUUGUCCAGUUUUGCAUCCUGAACUGAAGACAGAGGGCAUCCAGCCGAUAAAGGAUGGUGCGGAAGAAGCAAAAGAAAAGGAAAWAAGGUCAGAUUAUGCUCUUUCCAAACUCCCUUCCAGGCAGGUAAGGUCCAGGUCCAGGACAACAUCGCUAUUCCAAUCAGCAUUCACAAAUGUGUUGUCAGGCUCAUUUGAGAGAACACCAGUUGGCUUAAUAAGGAGAAAUAUAUUCCAUGUGAU
rnacentral:lncRNA from 1 species